rnacentral:sRNA from 1 species
AAAAAGCUCUCUCUCUCUCUCUCUCUCUCUCUCUCUCUGAGUAAAUCUC